CGUGGAUUGGUCUCACCGGCAGCUUCCCUCCUCCUCACUCUCAUCCCUCUCCCUCUCUCCAUCCCUCUCCCUCUCUCCAUCUCCCUGCCCCGUCUGCAGUCCUCUCACCGUGUCCUCUGCACCUCACGCCCGUGCCUCCACGUGCUCUCUGUCGCUUCCUUCCCUGUCUCCUGCGUCCUCGCCCUGCCUUAUUGUUCUGAGAGGACCUGACAGGGGACACCCGCGCUCACGCCCCUCUGCUCCCCGGGAGGCGCGCGCUGUGCCUGGGGAACUCCAGAGCCGUGGUCGGCAGGACAGCAGAGGAGUGUCCGGGGAAUACUACCAGAGAAGAGAGGCACGCGUGUGUGUGUGUGUGUGUGUGUGUGUGUGUGUGUGUGUGUGUGUGUGUGUGUGUGUGUGUGUGUGUGUGUUUUUGGGAGGCAUGAGAAGCCAGAGAUGCUCUGAGAGAGAGCGAUAGAGCCUGGAUCUCUGGUUUGUGCGGCAGACAGGGAACAGCGACGUGCUGGCGCUGAGAGGGCGGGGGGAGCGAGCUCCACGAGGUACAGGAGUCACCGCGUGUGAGGGGAGGGGGUACGGGAGGCUGGAGGGGUCUGCAGAGAGUGUAUCAUAAGUACAGACGAGGAGGAGGGGUGGACUGCUGUCAGAUCAAAGGACCGGAUGAGACGCAGUGCUUCUUCACUCCAUCUGGGGAGCAGGAGCCCAAGCAGUUAAUCAGCUGUGAAUAAGGGGAGAGUGAAGAGAGAGAGAGAGAGAGAGAGAGAGAGUGAAGAGAGAGAGAGAGAGAGAGAGAGAGAGUGAAGAGAGUGAGAUAGAGCGAGAGAGAGAGAGGGAGAGAGAGAGAGGGAGAGAGAGAGAGAGGGUUACUCGGGAAAACAAAGCAGAGGGAUUGGCCAGCAGAGUCUCCCAUCAGUGCAAAGAAGGUGCCUGCACCUCUGAGAAUAAAGGAUUGGGAAGGCUCCGGUAGAAGGUCGAGAAGAACAUCGGUGCCUGCUCAGAAACUACAGGAGCACCACAUCAUGGCUGUCCCACUCAUGCCCGAAUCGGCUGUUUGUCUGCUAAUGGUGAGUUCUGAACUAACGCAUGUCCGCCAUUCGGCCGUCCCAGUGUCUUUCUUUGUUUAGUUUAGUUUUUCGUCACAUCGGGGGUCUCCACCUGUGUGUGCAGUGCUUCUAUGUGUCUAGUUUCCAGUGGAGAACCCAACACCUAAAGAAGGUUAAGAGGAUGGCUUGUCUGCUCCUACACCUUUAUCUUUGUCCCACAAGCCCCGUUUGCUCAGCACGGGUCCACUGGGUCCAGUACCAGGGAUGCGGAUACCAGCUAUGGUACCUGCCUGGGCUGAUCUUCCACACAUCUUUUCACAUUCAAGUGGCAUUGCUUUUGUGUGUGUGCGUGUGCGUGUGUGUGUGUGUGUGUGUGUGUGUGUGUGUGUGUGUGUGUGUGUGUGUGUGUGUGUGUGUGUGUGUGUGGGUGUGUGUGUGUGUGUGUCUUUCAGUAGCUCUUCUCUCUAGGUAGACAGAGUCAAUCUGCUCCCGCUGUAGAUCUAUGGAGAGCUGAGUACCGCAUGCAGCAGGAUUUGUUUGGAGUGAAUCGGCCUGGACUAUUUUUCGCCACGUUUGUUUUAACGUUGCAAAGAGGAGCUUCACCUGCAGUGACCUGGGGCUGCUGCUGCUGGCGAUGGAGACGAGGGGAUUUGGGUGUGGCAGCAGGAGGCCCGACUGUUGACAACCCACCAUGGAUCUGUCCUCUGGGGACGUCGUGGGUUCUGUAAAACGUCUCUAGCGGCUGUCUUCUUGCUCUGUGAACUCAUGCCAACGUAUCUUCUGUCGUCGUCCUGUGUUAACACCGACGUCCAGCGCUCCGGUGUGUCUCUGAGGGAGGGCCAGGCGACCGGGUACCAGGUACCAGGGGCUGUAGGGUGCAGGCGUGCUGCUGAGGGGACUCUGGGGACGGGCUGCAGGAUGACGGUGGCCGCCGCCUGGAGGACAUAGAAGUCACUCUGGAGCAUAUGCUGAUGGACGUCUUCGUAAGUGCAUCCUUUUCUUCUUCAAAGACGACCGAUGACGCAUGGAUACUGACCGUCCCCACGACAUUAGAGACCCUUUUACCGACAAAGUAUGAAGUGUGAAAAACAGACUGCAAACAUUAGUUUUUUUUAUUAUUUACAGCUCAUUUUAACUUCCUCUGUGCUCUUUAAACCAGCGAGGUCCGAGCCAGCAGACAUAUUGCUACAAAAACAGGAAAAGCCUCAUUCUUGUUCUUAAGGAACUUUAAAUUAUAAAAAAAAUCUAUAAAAAAAUAACAGCCUUUCACAAUCUCCUGUUCUACUUGUAAACAUAUCAAAUGAAGGAAGCGACUGGAAUGACGCUCAGAAUGCCUUUAACACCGUGUUUAACCCCCAGUCCAGUUCAGAGGCUUACUCCUGACCUCCCUAACUCCACUGACCUCCCUACGAGAGGUCUGGUGCUCUCCUGAUGCCCUGUGGUUAGACUUUUUCAUUUAUAGAUGUCCUUCCCAGAUGCUUCCUCCUUAAUCAGGAUGCACGAGGAAGAGAUGAUUAAAAACUGUCACACUAUUUUCGGAGUCUGCCUCUUAGUUUAGUGUGCCUUCUUAUGGUCUUCACAAGGCUUACUGACCCUAGAAGAGUCCAUCUCUCUCUCUCUCUCUCUCUCUCUCUCUCUCUCUCUCUCUCUCUCUCUCUCUCUCU
ensembl:lncRNA